rnacentral:rRNA from 1 species
AGUGAACGCUGGCGGUAGGCCUAACACAUGCAAGUCGAACGGCAGCACAGUAAGAGCUUGCUCUUACAGGUGGCGAGUGGCGGACGGGUGAGGAAUACAUCGGAAUCUACUUUUUCGUGGGGGAUAACGUAGGGAAACUUACGCUAAUACCGCAUACGACCUACGGGUGAAAGCAGUGGAUCUUCGGACCUUGCGCGGUUGAAUGAGCCGAUGUCGGAUUGGCUAGUUGGGGGGGUAAACGCCCACCAAGGCGACGAUCCGUAGCUGGUCUGAGAGGAUGGUCGGCCACACUGGAACUGAGACACCGUCAAGACUCCUACGGGAGGCAGCAGUGGGGAAUAUUGGGCAAUGGGCGGAAGCCUGAUCCAGCCAUACCGCGUGUGUGACGAAGGCCUUCGGGUUGUAAAGCCCUUUUGUUGGGAAAGAAAAGCAGCAGGUUAAUACCCCGCUGUUCUGACGGUACCCAAAGAAUAAGCACCGGCUAACUUCGUG